rnacentral:rRNA from 1 species
AUUGAACGCUGGCGGCAGGCCUAACACAUGCAAGUCGAACGAGUGGCGGACGGGUGAGUAAUGUCUGGGAAACUGCCCGAUGGAGGGGGAUAACUACUGGAAACGGUAGCUAAUACCGCAUACCAUCGGAUGUGCCCAGACGGGAUUAGCUAGUAGGCGGGGUAACGGCUCACCUAGGCGACGAUCCCUAGCUGGUCUGAGAGGAUGACCAGCCACACUGAAUCUGAGACGCAGUCCAGACUCCUACGGUAGGCAACAGUGGAGAAUAUUGCACAAUGUGCGCAAGCCUGGUGCAGCCAUGCCGCGUGUAUGAAGAAAGCCUUCGGGUUGUAAAGUACUUUCAGCGAGGAGGCGUUACUCGCAGAAGAAGCACCGGCUAACUCCGUGCCAGAAGCCGCGUAAUAC